rnacentral:rRNA from 1 species
CCCGCUGAACUUAAGCAUAUCAAUAAGCGCAGGAAAAGAAACCAACAGGGAUUGCCUCAGUAACGGCGAGUGAAGCGGCAACAGCUCAAAUUUGAAAUCUGGCCUCUCGGGGUCCGAGUUGUAAUUUGUAGAGGAUGUUUUGGGUACCGCCCCGGUUUAAAUUUCUUGGAACAGAAUGUCAGAGAGGGUGAGAAUCCCGUCUUGGACCGGCGGUAGGGCCUGUGUAAAACUCCUUCGACGAGUCGAGUUGUUUGGGAAUGCAGCUCAAAAUGGGUGGUAAAUUUCAUCUAAAGCUAAAUAUUGGCCAGAGACCGAUAGCGCACAAGUAGAGUGAUCGAAAGAUGAAAAGCACUUUGAAAAGAGAGUUAAACAGUAUGUGAAAUUGUUGAAAGGGAAGCGCUUGCAAUCAGACUUGAGCGCGGCGGUUCCCCCAGCCUUUUGGCUGGGCUACUCCGUCUUGUCCAGGCCAACAUCGGUUCUGAGGGUCGGUUAAAGGCUCUGGGAAUGUAUCUACCCACGGGUAGACUUAUAGACCAAGGUGUCAUGCGGCCUCUCGGGACCGAGGAACGCGCUUCGGCUCGGAUGUUGGCGUAAUGGUUGUCAGCGACCCGUCUUGAAACACGG